rnacentral:rRNA from 1 species
GUAAUACAUCGGAACGUACCCAGUAGCGGGGGAUAGCCCGGCGAAAGCCGGAUUAAUACCGCAUACGCCCUAAGGGGGAAAGGGGGGGAUCGCAAGACCUCUCACUAUUGGAGCGGCCGAUGGCUGAUUAGCUAGUUGGUGGGGUAAAGGCCUACCAAGGCAACGAUCAGUAGCUGGUCUGAGAGGACGACCAGCCACACUGGGACUGAGACACGGCCCAGACUCCUACGGGAGGCAGCAGUGGGGAAUUUUGGACAAUGGGCGAAAGCCUGAUCCAGCAAUGCCGCGUGUGCGAAGAAGGCCUUCGGGUUGUAAAGCACUUUUGUCAGGGAAGAAAUCGUUCGGGCCAAUACCCCGGGCAGUUGACGGUACCUGGAGAAUAAGCACCGGCUAACUACGUGCCAGCAGCCGCGGUAAUACGUAGGGUGCAAGCGUUAAUCGGAAUUACUGGGCGUAAAGCGUGCGCAGGUGGUUCGUUAAGACAGUUGUGAAAUCCCCGGGCUUAACCUGGGAACUGCAAUUGUGACUGGCGGACUAGAGUUUGGCAGAGGGGGGUGGAAUUCCUGGUGUAGCAGUGAAAUGCGUAGAUAUCAGGAGGAACACCGAUGGCGAAGGCAGCCCCCUGGGCCAUGACUGACACUCAUGCA